UACGGGGGGGGGCAAGCGUUGUUCGGAAUUACUGGGCGUAAAGGGCGCGUAGGCGGUUCGCUAAGUUGAAUGUGAAAACUCUGGGCUUAACCCAGAGCCUGCAUUCAAUACUGGCGGGCUAGAGUUCUGGAGGGGAUAGCGGAAUUCCUGGUGUAGCGGUGAAAUGCGUAGAUAUCAGGAGGAACACCGGUGGCGAAGGCGGGUCUCUGGGCCGAUACUGACGCUGAGGAGCGAAAGCGUGGGGAGCGAACAGG
rnacentral:rRNA from 1 species